CCUACGGGUGGCAGCAGUGGGGAAUAUUGCGCAAUGGGCGAAAGCCUGACGCAGCGACGCCGCGUGAGGGAUGAAGGUCUUCGGAUCGUAAACCUCUGUUAGCAGGGAAGAACGGUCACUGUGCUAAUCAGCAGUGAAUUGACGGUACCUGCAAAGGAAGCACCGGCUAACUCCGUGCCAGCAGCCGCGGUAAUACGGAGGGUGCGAGCGGUAAUCGGAAUUACUGGGCGUAAAGCGCUCGUAGGCGGUAUGUCAAGUCAAGGGUGAAAUCCCCGCGCUCAACGUGGGAACUGCCUUUGAAACUGGCAAACUGGAGUGUGAGAGAGGAAUGUGGAAGUCCAGGGGUAGGAGUGAAAUGCGUAGAUAUCUGGAAGAACAUCAGGGGCGAAGGCGACUAUCUGGCACAUAACUGACGCUGAGGAGCGAAAGCGUGGGUAGCAAACAGGAUUAGAUACCCCUGUAGUC
rnacentral:rRNA from 1 species